GGCCAGGGGGCGGUUGCUUGCGGAGAAGCUGCGUAUGCAGAGGACAAAGCAGACCGUGUUGAACCAGCAGAUGCUGCACCCUGCUAUCAAGCAGACCAAGAACAUCUGCAGUGCAGCAUAUGAAUCAGAAUAUGAUCGAGAAUGAUAUGUAUUGUGUGCUUCGGGGGCCUAUUUGAUAUGGAACGCAUCUGGGGCUUGGGAUUGUGGAAGUUUGCGGUUUCCAUUCGUGUGCUGCUCCUGAUGAAUACAUAUAUUAAAGGAAGGAAGGUGUGGAGUCGGUGGAUGAUGAUGUGAGAAUGGCUGCGAUGCUUUCAGAGCCUGUUCCAGGGUGAUACAGCCUCAGUUGUUUUUCAGUUGUAAUUAUUAUUCUGGUGAUGGUAGACUUAUUUGGCACUGGCUGACAGGCUGAGAACAUGCUGUAUACAUAUGAGCUACAUACUACGACCUACCUGUGCUGUACCAGCAGGGUAGUUGAGCUCUAUUAUUGGAGGGCCGGGAGUUGACU